rnacentral:misc_RNA from 1 species
GAUGAAGAACGCAGCGAAAUGCGAUAAGUAAUGUGAAUUGCAGAAUUCAGUAAAUCAUCGAAUCUUUGAACGCACAUUGCGCCCGGUAGUAUUCUGCCGGGCAUGCCUGUUCGAGCGUCAUUUCAACCAUCAAGCCCCAGCGCUUGUGUUGGGGGCCUGCGGCUGCCGCAGCCCCCCAAAAGCAGUGGCGGGCUCGCUAUCACACCGAGUGCAGUAGUUCAUCUUCUCUCCGGUCUUGUGAGGCGGGUUCCGGCCGUGAAACACCCCACUACAUUCAAGGUUGACCUCGGAUCAGGUAGGAAUACCCGCUGAACUUAAGCAUAUCAAUAAGCGGAGGA